rnacentral:rRNA from 1 species
CUCUGGUAUUGAUUGGUGCUUGCAUCAUGAUUUACAUUUGAGUGAGUGGCGAACUGGUGAGUAACACGUGGGAAACCUGCCCAGAAGCGGGGGAUAACACCUGGAAACAGAUGCUAAUACCGCAUAACAACUUGGACCGCAUGGUCCGAGCUUGAAAGAUGGCUUCGGCUAUCACUUUUGGAUGGUCCCGCGGCGUAUUAGCUAGAUGGUGGGGUAACGGCUCACCAUGGCAAUGAUACGUAGCCGACCUGAGAGGGUAAUCGGCCACAUUGGGACUGAGACACGGCCCAAACUCCUACGGGAGGCAGCAGUAGGGAAUCUUCCACAAUGGACGAAAGUCUGAUGGAGCAACGCCGCGUGAGUGAAGAAGGGUUUCGGCUCGUAAAACUCUGUUGUUAAAGAAGAACAUAUCUGAGAGUAACUGUUCAGGUAUUGACGGUAUUUAACCAGAAAGCCACGGCUAACUACGUGCCAGCAGCCGCGGUAAUACGUAGGUGGCAAGCGUUGUCCGGAUUUAUUGGGCGUAAAGCGAGCGCA